rnacentral:lncRNA from 1 species
UUAUUAUAGAGUAUCUGUCUCUUGGCUUCCUGAGAAUCUGUCGUGAUUAAAUAGUGAAUGAAAGAAACUGAAUGAAAGAGGCUAUAUAUAAGAAAACAGUAUACAUUCUAUAUGAGAAAGGCAGGGCUUGCUCUUGCACUAGAAAUCUUAAUGAAUAGACAGCGCUUUAUGUGCAGGAAAAUGGUACUGGAUGCAUGACUUGAAGUACAGCACACAGGCUUCAUUCCAUCUCCUUUACUCCCCUUGGUCAGGAACCGCUUGGAAAAGAGGAUAACAUGUUGGUCAAUGGUUAAAUUAUAUUUACUUUGAUAUGUCUCUACAGGUUAAAUCAAUACCUGUAUGAAGCUUGAAGUUCACAUUUAUUAUGGAGGGCACUUGUAAAAGUGUAUUUGAAGCCUGUAAGAGCCAGAAGGACUCAGUCAUAUGCUGCCUUCUGUGCCUGAUGUUUUCUUUUGAACUAGGGAGAGACGUGAACAUACAGUCUGUUAUUGUAGUUUAUGCACAAAGAGUCAAAUAAGAAAGAUGUGGGUGUCUGUAUAAGAAAAGGUUUAGAAAACUUGGCAUAUUUUCUAUGAAUGUUAAGAACUUGUAUUAUUGUAAUUCUGUAAGUCUAAAUGCAAUUGAAGGAAACAAACAUCUCUAUGUAUAAUGAGAUUAACUGAAACAUAAUUGAACAAAACUGGAAAUAAAGAAAAAUCUAUCAAAUA